rnacentral:lncRNA from 1 species
GCCCUCCCACCAAGACGAGGCGCGCGCACCAGCAACCAGGGCCCGCUGGCGCCGCCCCGGGUUUCCGCUCCGGGGCUCGUCGGUCGCCGUUCGGUUCCGGUUCUGGCCCCGCCCUCACGCGGGAACCCUCCAGAAGUCUUAAUAUCCGGGACCAGAGGCUGGUUGCAGCGCACAUUUCCGGCAACGAGCGCAAAGGAAGGGAUCCGGUGACGCCUCUUCCCGUCUCCCCAGCGGCCCAGGCUCUGGCUCUCGGUGCGGCAGCGCCAUCUGGUGCCGAGUCUCCCGCCACCCGCGGAGGUGGCACGCGCCCUUCUCUCGGAACCUUCCAGAGAAACCGUGGCCCCUGCUUUCCUUUCUCCCGCCCUGGACGGGGAGGGACCCGAGUCUCCGCCCCGCCGAGUUCCCGCGCGGGAGGGACUUUGUGGCGACUCUGAAGCGGAAGCUGCCUGUAGGAGGAGCUUUACAAACCCAAAAUGGAGCGGAAACUGUUCUUUCUCUAGUUUUAAGUCCAGAAGAAACGGCGUCCUUUUAUUUUUUGCUUCCUUAUGCGUUGUUGCUGGGUCAUUCUCAGUCUUCCCCGUAUCAGUUCUUUAAUCUUUGAGGACUGGGACCCUGUAUUAAUUGCCUGGUAGGAAGAUGACACGAGCUUUGUGGCUUACAUUGGCCUCUGCUGUAAAAGCUUUUGUUUCCUUUGGCCUAUUAAAGCGCUGUUGUAAAAGCCUGCUGUGUAUGUUAGGAACCCAUCGAGAAGCAGAAUGUAGUAAUUUGCUUUAAAAUAGGCCAUGGAAGUUUCAGAAAGGUAGCCUCAGAAAUGCUCAAUGUAGAUUCGUUUGCAUGUCACGUUUCUUUUAGAUAAUCAGAGAAAGGAAAAGUAAUUUCCCCAAAGUUAGUAAAAUCAACACAUUUUCCUUUAAUAAUGUUCUUUUUUUCCUGUAAUCUUGGAGUACUAACAGAGUUGUUCUAAAUGUUUUAUUGGAAUGGUGCUGUGGAUAUCAAAAUAUAUAAUGAAACAAAUUUCCUUUAGAGUUUAGAUAGCACAUGUUAACUUGACUCUUUGAUUGUAUUUCUCCUAUAGUAAUGCUUCUCAAACUGGAGCAUGCAUCCAGAUUCUCUAGAAGGCUUGUUAAAACAGAUUGCUGGGCCUCAACACCAGAGGUUAUAACUGGGAGGGAAGGUCUGAGGAUACAGCUGGAUUAGUGUAGCUCUAGUAAAAUCUCAGGUGAUUCUGAUGCUGUUGGUACUAGGACCACACCUGGAAUAAUUUAGAGUUCAGGAUUGCUUUGUCAAUAAUGCUUUUUGCUGUUGCAGGACAGACGGUACUAAAAUAUACUGGUGAUACUAAGCCUGCACAAGUUAGUAGUCCUUUUGACUCCGUGGAUGGGAAGUAGUAAACUAAACCCUAGAACCAGUAGAGAGCUACAUAAAUGUUCACAGAUUAAAGCAACCAGUUCAUAGAAAUGUAUUCUGUAUAUGAUCAUGUGAUAGAGGGUGCUGUAAUACCAAGUAUACUAAAUAUUUCAGUUAUUAUACAGUAAUUGUUCUUUAGCUGUUAAAUUAGAAAUGACUAAAAUUAAGGACAAAAUAGUUUAAACAAUCAUACUAAUUUUACCCUUUGGAAGAUGCCAGGUUUUUUUCAGUCUUUUGCAUUUCCUCAAGUUCCCUUGUUUUACGGAAUUCUCUACCCCCAGCCCACUCCCAUCCCUACCGUGCCAUUUAUAAAUGUACACAGUGCUUACAUUAUAAAAAAUGAUCAUCUCAGAACUUGUCUCAUCUUUUCAGCAGGACUUUUCUCAAUUCUGUCAAAUUCUGACUGUGCCACUGCCUUUAUUGACACAGUAAUUAAAUCACGCAGUGAUUAAAGUGUGCUGCACACUGUAACUUUUGUGCUUGCUACAAAUAGAAAUACAGAUAUUGUUAGAUAAGUUUAUGUUUAUGAUAAUCAGUUCCUAAAAUGUAGAAAGCAGUCGGUUUUCUGGUCUCAGUUUUAUUUAAAUCACUGCUAUUUUGUUUACUGGAUGUAAGCUUCCCCCUCUCUGCUCUAGCCUGAAUGGGCCUUCGUGAAAAGAAGAAAAAAAAGAUUGAGAACAACUGUCUUAAAACCAUGGUAUUUCCCUAAUAGGCUAGUACCAUGUAUUUGGAUAAUUACUGAUGAAUCAUUUAAAUCAGGGAAAGGUGCAUGGUUUUGUUUUUUUGUUGUUUUUUCUCUUUUUUUUUUUUUUUUUUUUUGAGAUGGAGGCUUGCUCUGUCGCCCAGGCUGGAGUGCAGUGGCCAGAUUUCAGCUCACUGCAAUCUCUGCCUCCCGGGUUCAAGCGAUUCUCCUGCCUCAACCUCCUGAGUAGCUGGGACUACAGGCGUGUGCCACCACACCUGGCUAAUUUUUUUGUUUUAUUUAUUUAUUUAUUUAUUUGAGACGGGGUUUUGCUCUUGUUGCCCAGGCUGGGGUGCAAUGGUGCGAUCUCAGCUCAUCACAACCUCUGCUCCCAGGUUCAAGUGAGUCUUCUGCCUCAGCCUUCCUGAGUAGCUGGGAUUACAGGCAUGUGCCACCAUGCCUGGCUAAAAUUUUGUAUUUUCCUUAGUAGAGAUCAGUUUUCUCCAUGUUGGUCAGGCUGGUCUCGAAUUCCUGACCUCAGGUGAUCCACCCGCCUUGGCCUCUCAAAGUGCUGGGAUUACAGGUGUGAGCCACCGCGCCUGGCCUAAUUUUUUGUAUUUUUAGUAGAGACGGGGUUUCACCGUGUUAGCCAGGAUGAUCUCGAUCUCCUGACCUCGUGAUCCGCCUGCCUCGGCUUCCCAAAGUGCUGGGAUUACAGGCGUGAGCCACUGUGCCUGGCCCGAAAGGUGAAUGUUCUUUGCCUUAUUUUAAACUUUAUUGUAAUAAAUUCACUAAUGAAGCAGGCAGAGAAGAUGUAAAGGACACUUCAUUAGUAAUGCUAUAUUUCAUAUACCUGCUGUAUUUUGGGAGCAUUAUUGCUAUCAUUUGGUUUGUUGGAUCCCUCCAAAUCUCACGUUGAAAUUUGAUCCCCAGUGUUGGAGGUGGGGCUUAAUGGGAGAUGUUUUCAGACAUGGGGGUGGAUCCCUGACACAGGGCUUGAUGCCCUCCUAGUGAUAAUGAGUGAGUUUUCUAUUAGUUGCUGUCAGAGCUGGUUGUUAAGAGCCUGGCACCUCCCUCCUAUCGAUUUUCUUGCUGCUUUGUCUUGCUUCCUCGCUUACCAUGUGAUCUCUGCACAUGCUGGUUCUCCUUCACCUUCACCCACAAGUGGAAACAGCCUGAGGCCCUCACCAGAAAUAGCUGCUGGUACCAUGCUUCUUGUACAGCCUACAGAACUGUGAGCCAAGUAAACCUCUUUUCUUCAUAAAUUACCCAGCCUCAGGUAUUCCUUUAUAGAAAAAUAAAUGGACUAAGACAGUUGUUAAAUAACCUUAUUUUGUUGACUAAAAGUAAUUAGUAUUUUAUGACAUUUAUUUAUUAUGGCUGUUAACAUUACAAUUUAUCCUGGCUAAUUUCAUCAGUAAACACUCUUAUGAAAUGAUACUGUAGUUUACUUUCAACCAAGAAUUGGUUGACUUUGAUACAGUAAUUAGAUUAGGAUUCCCACGUCAGAUUUUCUUUCAAAAAUAAUUCCUAUUAUUAUGUGGAAGCCUCCUUUUCUGAUUUUUUUCUCUUAUUUUCUAAGAACAUAAUAUGUAAAUGGAUGUAUAAUGAAUAUUUGUGGCAAAAAGCAUUUGUCUAAGAAGAAUUAAGUUGAUUCAGCUGUUAAAGGGGUCUUAGUUGUUAGAGCUUUUUGGCGGUUUAUUUGCUAUAAUCAAUAGACUUAUUAAUACUUUUAAUUUUAGCCUAAUAGUACUAAUAGUCACAUUUUGACUAACUAUUGGGCCAGUUUUUCUUUGUCAUUCAUUGGUAGUUGAGUCUCUGUAGCCUUUAUACUGCCCUAUUUUUGGUUUGCCACAUUUUAAAUCUCAAACUGCCUAUAAUUUAUACUGUUAGUCUUUGGAAAUAAGUUUGAAUUGACUAUUCUGCUAAACUCAUUUUAAUGACCAUGCUCCCUUGUGAUGAGCUAAAUUUAUUUAUUAUUGUGUUGUCGUAUUAAUUUUUUUUUUUUUGAGACAGUCUCACUCUGUCGCCCAGGCUGCAGUGCGGUGGCUCAGUCUCCACUUACUGCAACCUCCACCUCCCGGGCUCAAGUGAUUCUCCUGCCUCAGCUUCCUGAGUAGCUGGGAUUACAGGCAAGAUUAAUGUUUUUUAUUUGUAAUCAAUUUAAGCCUAAUACAUGUUCUAAUAAUUUUUGUAUUUCAUAUAUGGAUAAAUUAUAAUAAUUCUUUUAAAGUGAAAGUAUUGAUGAGAGAUACUUUUUUUUGGAAUAGCUCAUUUUAAGCCCCUGAUACUUGAUAUGGAUAAAAUAUUUUCAGUGUUUAAUAAAAUGUUGAAAUAUAUUUAACUUUACUAAUUUGAGCCCUGCCAAUUAUAAUACUUUAGAAAAAGUGAAAAUAUAAUAGUACAUUUAUAAGGCUUUUAAGUAUUCACAAAAUAGUCAUUUCCCAGUAGAUGUUUUUCAGCUCUUAUGAUACAGUGUUUUCUUUUUCUUUUGGCCAUGUAUUGAUCAGAAUUAGUCAUUAACUUUACUAACAACUGGAUUUAGUUUGUCAGCCUUGAUGGUUUGGUUACACAGAUGUAGCUAUUGUGUCAACCCCACUGUUUUAAAUAUGUUCCUAUGCCAGGUGAAAUUUGAUCCCUUUAAGCAAAUUUCUGUUAAACACUUUGUGUCAGUUUCAGUAACGUUUCCCCAAUGAACAUUCCUACUGUACAAAAUUUUACAUAUGUGUAUUUACAUAUUUAUACUUUUUUCACAAAUGUGGGAAUUUAGGAUACUAUGUUUGUAAAAAUUGGGCAAUUUUUCUUGAAGAUAAUUUUUAAAAUUACAGCAAAACAUAGGGCCCUGAGAAGAAGAGGUAAAAUAUAUGGAAGAGCAAGUAUGUAUAGAUAAUUUUGUAACGUAACCUUGAGAGAAAUAUAGAAAACUGAGACAACAUAAGCCAAAGGAAAGGAAUUGGGAUGUAAAACCUUUAGGGUAGAGCAGUGCUCUGCUGUGGUCAUUUAUGCCUUGGCAUUAAGUUCUUUUGAAUAUAAAACAAUGCAUUUAGAAGGAUUUUAAGACUAUAUCACAGUGCACUGGCAUUUUCUUCUUCAAUUUUCCAGGGCUAAAUAAGGUAAUUGAAUAAUAAAACUUAAAAGCAUUUUUCAUUUCAUGAAGAUCCAAGAAAAAAUAUUUCAUAACAAUUUUUAUUUACAAGAAGGAAAAACAUAUUCAUAAGAAUCUUAGAUGAUUAGUAGGUUAAUGAAAUAAAAAGUUUGUUAGGAAGAAGGAAUACUAGUUAUUGAACAAUGCCAAUUUUUUCUAUUUAAAAAUAUUUAAAAUGCCAUUAGUUGAUUUAUUUAAUGAGCCAUCAGCCUUUAUUUUAGAUUCACUAUAACUCUGAUCUCCUAAACCUGCUUUUCCUAUCAGGUCUUAAAUAUUUCAUCCCUGCUUUCUUUUACAAUAUAGUUUUUGGGAAUGUAACUAUCAUGUUGAUAAGUAAUGCUAGGUGAAGGAAAAAGUUAAAACAACUCCAAUGCUAGGCAGUGAUAUACCAUAGAAAAAUAAAUGAGCCAAAGAUAGGGGAAGUGAUUUUUUUUGGAGGAAGAAAACAGAAAUGAGAACAAGAGGACAUGGAUGACUGCUGAAAAACUGACCAAGUUCCUCUUCAGUCUUCUAACAGAAUUUGGAAGAUGUUCUUAGCAUGCAACUGUUGGUUGAAAAAAACCCAAAUGUACAAGGGCCAUCAGUUCUUAAAAGUGGAAUAGUGCAUAGAAAGCUUAUUGACACAACAUAGCAGUUUGAUGAAAUGGACUGAAGCCAUUUCUGUGGAGUGGACUCGUGGAAAAUGUGAUGCCUGAUUCAUAAAAUUGUACACAGUUGAAUGUUGCUAUAUAGGUAAGGUUUUGCAAACUCAGGACUCUCAGGAAACAUCAAAGGUAUAUAGUUGGCACACUUAAUUUUAGAUAUGUGUGAUACGUUUGUGAUUUUUUUUAAAAAAAUAUUUCCAGGAAUGCUUAAGAAGAUUAUACCACCUCAUGCUAUAAAAUAAAACUAACUUGGAGAAUUCAACAAUGUUUGCUGUUUUAAUAUGCAUCUUACAAAGAUAAUUAUAAACACUGAGAGUAUUUACUGCAAUGCCCUGAAUAUAGUAUGCCUAAAGAAUUUUCUGUAUAAAAAUAAUUGUAUUUAUUUUAGUUAAAAAUUGAGUAAAAUAUACAUGCAUCAAAAUAAUUUCUAGGUAGACCAAAGUGAUAUAUGUAAAGAAAGACAAAAUCAAAAAUCAGGAAAUUGCUGGUGAAUAUCUAAUCUCGG